rnacentral:rRNA from 1 species
CCUACGGGUGACAGCAGUGAGGAAUAUUGGACAAUGGACGAGACUCUGAUCCAGCCAAGCAGCGUGAAGGAUGAAUGCCCUCUGGGUUGUAAACUUCAUUUAUAUGGGAAUAAAAUGUUGCACGUGUGGGAUUUUGUAUGUACCAUAUGAAUAAGGAUCGGCUAACUCCGUGCCAGCAGCCGCGGUAAUACGGAGGAUCCGAGCGUUAUCCGGAUUUAUUGGGUUUAAAGGGAGCGUAGGUGGAUUGUUAAGUCAGUUGUUAAAGUUUGCGGCUCAACCGUAAAAUUGCAGUUGAAACUGGCAGUCUUGAGUACAGUAGAGGUGGGCGGAAUUCGUGGUGUAGCGGUGAAAUGCUUAGAUAGCACGAAGAACUCCGAUUGCGAAGGCAGUUCACUGGACUGCAACUGACACUGAGGCUCGAAAGUGUGGGUAUCAAACAGGAUUAGAUACCCCAGUAGUC